rnacentral:tRNA from 1 species
CAGAAAAUAGUUUAAGGAAAAAUAUUAGCUUUGGGAGUUGAAGAUAUUAGUUAUAAUUUUUCUGA